UAUAUCGUCUGACUACUGUUUAUUUGUUGUUUUUUCCUUUUUUUUUCAGAAAAAUGAGAGGAGGUAGGAGUCCGAGAGGCGACAUGAACUUUGAAUUCUUUUGAACGUUAUUUUUAAUUUCAGAAUUGAUGUGUUCAGAAAUCUUUCGAUUUCUCAUUUUGUAACAUUUUUAACUUGGAAUACUGAUCUAUGUCGUCUGACUACUCUUUCUUUGUUGUUUUUUUCUUUUUCUUUUUCAGAAAAAUGAGAGGAGAAAAAAUGAGAGGAGAAAAAUGAGAGGAG